UACGUAGGUGGCAAGCGUUACUCGGAAUCACUAGGCGUAAAGCGCAGGUAGGCGGUUCGGUAAGUCUUUUGUGAAAGCUCCUGGCUUAACUGGGAGAGGUCAAAGGAAACUACCGGGCUAGAGUUUGGUAGGGGAUACUGGAAUUCCUGGUGUAGCGGUGAAAUGCGUAGAUAUCGGGAGGAAUACCUAUGGCGAAAGCAGGUAUCUGGGCCACAACUGACGCUGAGCUGCGAAAGCGUGGGUAGCAAACAGG
rnacentral:rRNA from 1 species